ACCAGAGGAGGCAUCGAAAAUUUGACUUUUGGGAGGAGGCUUCCAGAUUCUAUCCCAACAGGAUCAGAGGAGGCAUAAAGAAGAGGAAGGACUUCAUCAAACAGCAGACCUUCAAUGCCAUCUUAGCAUCUGAUAGUGUCCGAGUGCAGUUGCUUCUGCCAAGCCACCUUGAGUUCUUUUCAAGGAGAAAGUCUGCAGUUGCCCUGGGGGAAACUCCUCAUAUUUACUUGAGGCUAUUUGCUGGUGAACAGAACAUCAUGAUGACUGUGAGUGUACUAACAUC